rnacentral:rRNA from 1 species
CCUACGGGCGGCAGCAGUGAGGAAUAUUGGUCAAUGGACGGAAGUCUGAACCAGCCAUGCCGCGUGCAGGAAGAAGGCUCUAUGAGUUGUAAACUGCUUUUGUACGAGAAUAAAACUGGAUACGUGUACCCCGUUGAAUGUACUGUACGAAUAAGCAUCGGCUAACUCCGUGCCAGCAGCCGCGGUAAUACGGAGGAUCCAAGCGUUAUCCGGAUUGAUUGGGUUUAAAGGGUGCGUAGGCGGCUUGUUAAGUUAGAGGUGAAAUGCUCGGGCUUAACUCGGGAACUGCCUUUGAUACUGGUGGUCUUGAGUGUAGGUGAGGUAGGCGGAAUGUGUGGUGUAGCGGUGAAAUGCAUAGAGAUCACGCAGAACUCCGAUUGCGAAGGCAGCUUGCCAGUCUAUAACUGACGUUGAGGCACGAAAGCGUGGGGAUCAAACAGGAUUAGAUACCCUGGUAGUC